rnacentral:rRNA from 1 species
GACGAACGCUGGCGGCGUGCUUAACACAUGCAAGUCGAACGGAAAGGCCUGCUUUCCCUUGUGGAUUGCGGGUACUCGAGUGGCGAACGGGUGAGUAACACGUGAGUGAUCUGCCCCCAACUUGGGUAUAAGCCUGGGAAACUGGGUCUAAUUCCCGAUAGGACUGCAGGGUGGUGCCUGUGGUGGAAAACGAUUUUCUAGUGGUUGGGGAUGAGCUCGCGGCCUAUCAGCUUGUUGGUGGGGUAAUGGCCUACCAAGGCGGCGACGGGUAGCCGGCCUGAGAGGGUCGACGGCCACAUUGAGACUGGGAUACGGCCCCGACUCCUACGGGAGGCAGCCGUGGGGACUAUUGGACCGUGGGCGGAAGCCUGCUGCAGCGACGCCGCGUGGGGGAUGACGGCCUUCGGGUUGUAAACUCCUUUCGACCGCGAGGAAGCCACCUGGUUGGAAGGGUGGUGACGGUAGUGGUAGAAGAAGCACCGGCUAACUACGUG